rnacentral:rRNA from 1 species
ACGCUAGCUACAGGCUUAACACAUGCAAGUCGAGGGGAAACGGCAUUAAGUGCUUGCACUUUUUGGACGUCGACCGGCGCACGGGUGAGUAACGCGUAUCCAACCUUCCCAUGACUAAGGGAUAACCUGCCGAAAGGCAGACUAAUACCUUAUGGUCUUCACUGACGGCAUCAGAUGUGAAGUAAAGAUUUAUCGGUUAUGGAUGGGGAUGCGUCUGAUUAGCUUGUUGGCGGGGUAACGGCCCACCAAGGCAACGAUCAGUAGGGGUUCUGAGAGGAAGGUCCCCCACAUUGGAACUGAGACACGGUCCAAACUCCUACGGGAGGCAGCAGUGAGGAAUAUUGGUCAAUGGGCGAGAGCCUGAACCAGCCAAGUAGCGUGCAGGAUGACGGCCCUAUGGGUUGUAAACUGCUUUUGUAUGGGGAUAAAGUCAGUCACGUGUGAUUGUUUGCAGGUACCAUACGAAUAAGGACCGGCUAAUUCCGUGCCAGCAGCCGCGGUAAUACGGAAGGUCCGGGCGUUAUCCGGAUUUAUUGGGUUUAAAGGGAGCGUAGGCUGGAGAUUAAGUGUGUUGUGAAAUGUAGACGCUCAACGUCUGACUUGCAGCGCAUACUGGUUUCCUUGAGUACGCACAACGUUGGCGGAAUUCGUCGUGUAGCGGUGAAAUGCUUAGAUAUGACGAAGAACUCCGAUUGCGAAAGCAGCUGACGGGAGCGCAACUGACGCUGAAGCUCGAAAGUGCGGGUAUCGAACAGGAUUAGAUACCCUGGUAGUCCGCACAGUAAACGAUGGAUGCCCGCUGUUGGUACCUGGUAUCAGCGGCUAAGCGAAAGCAUUAAGCAUCCCACCUGGGGAGUACGCCGGCUACGGUGAAACUCAAAGGAAUUGACGGGGGCCCGCACAAGCGGAGGAACAUGUGGUUUAA